rnacentral:rRNA from 1 species
GAGUUUGAUCCUGGCUCAGAGCGAACGUUGGCAGUGUGUCUUAAGCAUGCAAGUCGAACGGCAGCAGGCCAUAUAGCAAUAUAUGGUGCUGGCGAGUGGCGAACUGGUGAGUAACGCGUAAGAAUCUACCCUCUGGUGGGGGAUAACUCAUGGAAACAUGAGCUAAUACCGCAUGAAGCCGAACCCAUAGUGAUAUGAGCUUGGUAAAAGGAGAAAUCCGCCAGUGGAUGAGCUUGCGUCCCAUUAGCUAGUUGGUAGGGUAAGAGCCUACCAAGGCGAUGAUGGGUAGCUGGCCUGAGAGGGUGGUCAGCCACACUGGGACUGAGAUACGGCCCAGACUCCUACGGGAGGCAGCAGCUAAGAAUCUUCCUCAAUGGGGGAAACCCUGAAGGAGCGACACUGCGUGCAGGAUGAAGGCCCUUUGGGUUGUAAACUGCUUUUGUAGGGGAGAAAUAACCGAAUGGGAUGAUAGUACCCUACGAAUAAGUCCCGGCUAACUACGUGCCAGCAGCCGCGGUAAAACGUAAGGGGCGAACGUUGCUCGGAAUUACUGGGCGUAAAGGGCCGGUAGGUGGCUUUAUAAGUCAGUUGUCAAAUACCCAUGCUCAACGUGGGAGAGGCGACUGAUACUGUAGAGCUUGAGUAGAGGAGGGGAUGACGGAAUACCCGGUGUAGGGGUGAAAUCUGUUGAUAUCGGGUAGAACACCGAUGGCGAAAGCGGUCAUCUAGCCUCAUACUGACACUCAACGGCGAAAGCCAGGGGAGCGAACGGGAUUAGAUACCCCGGUAGUCCUGGCCAUAAACGAUGCAUGCUAAGUAUUGGCACCGCGUUGGUGAUAGUACCGUAGCUUACGCGUUAAGCAUGCCGCCUGGGGAGUAUGCUCGCAAGAGUGAAA